rnacentral:lncRNA from 1 species
CAGUCAUCGUGCACACCCAGAUCCAACUGCUCGACUGAUGCAACGUUCUACUAAAAUGCAAAACCAAGCCACCAUGACAUGUUGAUGAGGCCUGGUGCAGUUUGCUCCACUGUAGCCACUGCUUUUUUGCUUGACUUUGACCAUGCCACCUUGAAGUCGACCGAACGCCAUCUUCUUAGAUUCAAGCCCAGUUGGCAGCCACACCAAGUUCCAACAGUGAAAUUUUUAUCUAAUCCAAACUAUGUUUGAAUUAGAUUACAAAUUCAUAUACGUGUGAAUUAUUUUUUUUCCAACUCGAUGAAUCUAAAACUCGAUCAAGUUGGUUCGAACCUAAAUUUGCCCACUCUACUAGCCAUAUAAGUAGGGAUCAAUUUUCUAUUUAUUUACUUAUACCUGCU